CUCAUUACACUUGAUGAGGGAUCUUGCUUUCCUUCUUUGUGCUCAGCAAUAUUGUCGUUAAUCUAUUCGUAGCUUUGACACAUACAGCUGCUUGUAUCACUUCCAAAUUAAUAGAGAAACAGGUUUUGAAAUACCCUGACUAGAGAAAACUGUUGGGAAGUCACAAGGGACUUUGACAUUGAAACCAGCACCUUUAUGAUUCUGUGAUUCUAUAAUAUUAUUUCUAUAUUCAUAAAAGCAGCUUCUAAUAAAAGUUAUGUCUGCAGCAAGGACAGGCAGUGUUCUCUUACGGCUGUCUCCUGUGUUUUUAAAAACAAUCCAAAAUACCUUCUUAUGAAGUGGUCCCAAGGAAGCUCAAAACCAGCAUGGAUUAAAUGAAACUGUGAUUUCAUACUGCACACAUCUGACAGAGAGAAUCUGCUGUGGUAGAUUCACAUCUGCUGCCAGCUGAGCUCUUUUAUCGGGUGUUAAAAUAACAUUAGAAGCUGGAGCAGCAAUGGGAAAACAACUUGUCAAGAAAGAAGCAGGCGUAGAUUAAUAUAACUCAUUAAAACUGGAAAACAAAGUAAGCAUUGUUGCAAAAGCAAUGGGAAACAUUGUCUGCUGGGUAACUGCUGGAUGACAGUAAAAUGUCAGAAAAAGUGCUUUGCAUGAGACUGCCAGGAAAGUUGUGAUAUGAUUUCUCUGACACUGUUUAUCUGAAAAUAGAAAACAAAAACAUCAAAAGCUGUAAAACAAUGGGUAAGAAAGCCCCUGUCAUUAACAUCUAAGGGCAGUUCUCUGGAGAAGAACAUUUAUGCAAUGCCUUUGUGAGAGUGUAUUUGAAUGCUCAGACACUGCCACUCUGGCAGUUAGCAGUUUUGUUUAUAAUAAAUAAUAAAAAAAAAAAAAAAAAAAUCUCAGUGCUUUUGAAAUUGAGCCAAUACUCAAAAUACUCAAAAUCACUUGUCCCAUACUGCCUGAUUUACUUGAACAUCUGUUGACAGGCAAAAGCAUUUUUUUGAAAUAGAGAACAAGGGUUUAGUCCAUUAUGUUUACAUAAAAAAGAGCCAGCACAAAAUCUGCAACCUUUUCAGUAUUUUUCAUGUACAAUUUCUUGCUCUAAGCAUAUAAAUACAGACAUUCAGCAGGUCCAUUCAGUUCUGGAGUUCUAAAUCCAUUGCUGUUAUUUUGAUU
rnacentral:lncRNA from 1 species